UUUUUGGAAGUGUUCACCAGUUUUUGUUCCUUGAUAGAGUGAGUGGUAUCAUGAGACAAUUGUUUUUCCAGUUAUUUAAUAGCAAGUAAUUUGUAGUUAUUCAUUCGAAGACAUCAACACUAUCUGGAUUAGCUACUCUUCUUUUGACACAAUUAUUUUAUAAUUUCAGGUCAUACUGUCUGAUAUUGGAUAAUUUAGCGGGUGAAAGAUUUAAAAAUGAUGAAAAGUUGCGGAAAUCAUUUGAAGACCAUCAUUUGGAUUAGUUAUAUAAUGACAUUAGCUAUUUAGUCUAAAUUAUAUAUUUUUAUGUUUUCAGUUAAUGUGAUAUUAAUGUUUUUAAUUAGUACUUCCUUUUGUUUGUUAAGAUUAAUAAGAUACAUUUAUGUUUUUUUAGAAUUAAUAUUAAUAUAUUUUAUUGUUUGAGUCA
rnacentral:lncRNA from 1 species